rnacentral:rRNA from 1 species
UGGGGAAUAUUGCACAAUGGAGGGAACUCUGAUGCAGCGACGCCGCGUGAACGAAGAAGGCUUUCGAGUCGUAAAGUUCUUUUAUAUGGGAAGAUAAUGACGGUACCAUAAGAAAAAGCCCCGGCUAACUACGUGCCAGCAGCCGCGGUAAUACGUAGGGGGCUAGCGUUGUCCGGAAUCACUGGGCGUAAAGGGUUCGCAGGCGGAAAUGCAAGUCAGGUGUAAAAGGCAGUAGCUUAACUACUGUAAGCAUUUGAAACUGCAUAUCUUGAGAAGAGUAGAGGUAAGUGGAAUUUUUAGUGUAGCGGUGAAAUGCGUAGAUAUUAAAAAAAAUACCGGUGGCGAAGGCGGCUUACUGGGCUCAUUCUGACGCUGAGGAACGAAAGCGUGGGUAGCAAACAGG